GUGGGCGGAUCCUGGGCAGGUUGGCUGGGUCGGGCUGCCCGGGCGACGCCGGAGUUGCAGUUGGAGGCUGCGGGAAUACAAAGGGGUGGCUACCUUUCAAGAGGAACAAGAAAAGAGAGGUGGGAAUAUGGAACCAAGCCAAAGAUUCUGCAGGAUCCUGCACAGGUCUUGCUCUGUCACCCAGGCUGGAGUUCAGUGGCCCAUCCAUAGCUCACUGCAGCCUCGACCUCCUGGGCUUCAAAGUGAUCCUCCUGCCUCAGCCUGCCAAGCAGCUAGGACU